CAACCCCCUCCCCCCCAAAAAAAACAACUCACCAGCUGCCUUCCUGGGAUGUCCCUUCUGUGAAUGCCCCAGUCCUUGAUUUCCCUUUAAGAACCUCAGACAGGAAAAUGUUGAUCUGUGCCAAUGGUUCCCCUUCUUCGAUGGAGUUUGAAGGGUGGCAGGAGCCUAAGGUAGGGUCCCAGAUAUUUGUCAAUGGGAAAUGGGCAAAGCCAAAGCAGUUUUAUAUUUUGAUUAAAAAACGUGCAUCUGGACAGCUAAAUUACCAGUUCUGAUCUAAUGCAAGUGUAAUAGGAACACCAGCUGUCCCUUAAUUGGAGCCCCACAAUAAUAAACGCGUGCUUUUAUUUAAUUUUAUGAGGACAAUUGUAGUUGAUAACACACGCAUAUGCGAGAUCCUCAGUGACAAGCUCAUAGCAAUUCAUGGGCUGCUCUCCUGCCAUGAACUGCUUCACCCCAGUACCGAGUUCUACAUGCUCUCCACAAAGGGUAAAAACGUCGCAGGAGACAUUUAAGUAACAGGUUGAGGAGCCUAGUGAAAUCUCAGGCUAAUUCUCCUUUUUAAUUCUGUGGGAGUGAUCCAAGUAGAAUUCUCCAGCUGAUUUUAGGCAAGAAAUCAAUGUCUGUUUGUUAAAUGCCAGAUAAUAGUGGCAGGAUCAUAAUGGUUGGAAGGAGAACACUGGCACAAAACUACCCUUUAAAUAAUUGAGAUACCCCCUCCCCCCACCAAGGCAAUUGGCAAGCAUUGUGAAAGUUAUCAGGACAAUGUACAGGGACAGCAUCUGAUACUUUUGCAGUAAUGGGUAGAAUCCUAGCAUAAGUCAAACAGAAGGCAGGAGUUGCUAGUUUCUUGAAAAAAAGGGAAACAAGAAAAAAAUGAAUUCCUAACUGCCUCUCUUCACCUCCUUUUGAGCUUGCCAAAUUACCUGCACUGCUCUGAAAAUCAAACUUGGCUGACAUAUAGGAAGUGGCUUUGGCAGUCCAGGAACUACCACAACUAAAAUUAAGAGGUGUUGGCUACCACAGAAGUCUGGAAAGAAGGGCAAGGCUGAAUUAUAUAACUUUAUACCCAAUGAUCUAACAAAUGAGGAACUUUUAUCACGGUGAGUCAACAAAGGAGUCUUUAUGCUAAACAUGGGUCAACACCACUGCUUUUACCUCUGUCCACCAUUGCAAACCACAUCUCCUAUGAGGCACUCCAGGUUUCCCUAAUCCCACACAAACUGGCUCCUUUUUAUUGUCAUUGCAUUGGUGAAAUAAUUGUUUUCUUAUGAAUGUAAGGUCAUAAAUUGGUCAAUUUGCAUAGCUUCAACAUAUUCUUUGGCUUGAGAUUUGUGAUCAGAGAAAAUCGCAAAUGUCCACAUGGGAGAGGAAAAUAGCCUUAUAAACAAAUUUUAGCCUAAUAACCUGUCCCCCUUUUAUCCAAGAUGGUACAGCCUCCACAAAUGAAGCCAGGCAAACUUCCCUGCCACCAGGUCACUGGGGAGUGUUUUCAAAGAGUGGAAAUUGCUGUCCCGUCCCCUCAGCAUUUUAAAAGGGCUUGUUUGCUCUUUAGGGUAGACUUACCUUGGAAUUACUUUCCACUUUAGUACUUAGAGCUAACCAACAUUUUCUUUUCUUUUCUUCCCCUGAGGCAUGAUUGGGGGCACGACCGAGGAAAAAUGGAGUUGCACACUGACUGAUCCACAAGAUGACUUCUUAAUGUAUAUACAUUAUUGUCUCUGACUUCUUACACUUGUUCCCCCUCGCAUUCUGGGCGAGUCUCAGAACCACUACUCCUGAGGGAUCUUCAAAGUGUCAGUUUUAUCUUCUGGUUUUCCAUGAUGUCUUCGAGCAGGGUCAGAUGGUUCCCUACUGGCUAUAAACGGCUGUAGCAGCCCCACGCCUCACAUCUUCAUACUCAUGGAAGAGCAAACGUCCUGGGUUUACCAGAAUUGGAUGAGCUGAAGCCGGGGUUAUAUUCCCAUUUCUGAAACAAUCAGAAGAACUUCAAGAGGGGGAGCAAAUUAAUGCGGCUGGGCCUGGAGUAGGUAAUGAGUUCAACGUAUUCAGUCCAAGCGUGUGGCUGAAAAUCAUAUUUGCACUGCUCCCUGAAUCGUGAAUCAGAAGCUGUUGCCAGCAGAAUGGAAGUUAGAAAAGCAACUAAAAUCGUUCUCUGUGGUCCCUGGAUCAUGGAGCACACAUUCUUGGGACGGUGGGGGAAUCGGAGACGAAAUAAGUAAACAAAUAAGCAAGAUAGACAUGGUGAUAAAUGCUUUGAUGGUCCCAGAAUAGGGUGUGGUCUCCAAGAAAACAGAGAUUUAUAUUUGUUUUGCUCUUUGCAAUAUCCCGCCUGCCUAAGCCAGUGCCUAGCACACAUCGGCCCAAAGUAAACGUUUGUUGAGUUGAAUUGCAUGAAAUAAUAAGGAGGGUAAAAUGAUAAUCGUUGCUCUGUAUCAUGCCUCUCUGCUCCCAACCAACCGCUUUCCUUGGGUCCCUUGUCAGCGACAUGCCUUGGCUUCUGCUCUGCUUCCCACCUGGGACCUACUCCUUUCCCCCCCUGUGUGUCCAGGUCCUACACAUCGUUCCCAACUUUAUCAAAAUUCCAUCUUCUUCAGGUGCCUUCCAUGACAUACCUGCUGCUCUUUAACUUCCUCCUGACCAUCCUCUGCUCCACCAUGGCAUUUAUCAGCAAUGUGCCUUUUAGCCCUAGGUUUUAUUAGACUUGGUAAUUUGCCAAAUGUUCUUUUAUAACAUUAACUAACACAGUUUUAUCUUUACGUGCCUUAAAAUCCCGAACAGAGCAUGAUCUAUCUGUAGAUAGGCAUUGGUUGUUUUUUCCCUAGCUUAGCCAUUUACUAGGUAUAUAUGAACCUGGGUAAAUGAUUUGCUGCUCUGAGAGUCAAUUUCCUGAUCUGUAACAUGGGGGUUGUACCUCCCUCGUGAGGCUGCUCUGAGUACUGAGGUUAUGUAUGCCACCCCCACAUGGUAGGUACUUGAUAAACAGGGGUGAUGAUGAAGAAGAAGGAGGAUGGAGGGGAGGAGGAGGGGGAGGAGGAGGCAGGGGAGGAGGAGGAGAAGGAGAAGGAGAAGGAGAAAGCAGCUUUGAUUUCGCCAUCAGCAGGAAGGCACUCGCUGAAGCAUGGCAAGCUAAGUGACCACACCGCUGAACUGAAGGAACGGAGAGGAAGGGAGAGGCAGGAGCCUAGCAGCCAGUGCCCGACACAGCCAUCCCUUACAGCCCUGGCGCUCACGCUGAACUAACAAGCACCUAAUUGACUCAAAUGAUGGUACGUGUGAGCCUCGGCGGGUGCUGGAUGAGCUGCCGCCGGGGGCGGAGGCGCUGCUAUUAUGCUAAUUCUUGUGCAUCCCACGGGUCAGAAAAGAACAGAUACUUCAUCCGCCACGGGAGGAAUGGCAGCAAUUAAGGCAGUCACGAUGCCAUGAAGUGGUGUUAACGAAACAAAUGAGGACUCUGUCUCUGGGUAAAAUCACUCCGGUCUUUUGGGGGGAAAAUCCCUGCCUAAAUAAAUUGUUUACUUUUUCGCGGCCAUGACUGCUCAAUUAGAUCAUUCAUGAGCAUGGUGUCCCCAAAUGUAAAGAGUGAAAUGGACAGGCUUUCCUCUAAUCCCUGCUUCUCUACCAGCUGGCUCGUUGGGCUUAGAGUACACCUGCUGCCUUCUCAGCUACAAACUUUCCAACCCCUCAGCCAAGUCCACCCCAUCCAGCUCUGCUUUCCACCGCAGAUGAGAUUUGGGGCUAGGGAAGGUCACUACUGAGCAAUCAGGUCAAGUGAGUUAGUGCCUGAGGUCCUGACCUGCACGUACGGCUGGCUGCAAAAACUUUCUCGAACGUGUUCCAGGUAUGUUCAUUCUAGUGGUUGAAAUGAGAUUGACCUGAUUUAAAAUUUCCCCGUUUGUGAGUUUUGUGACUUUCAGCAAACACUUAACUUCUUUAGUGGAAAAAAAUAAGAUCUGCUUUAUAAAGUAGUUAUGAGAAUCAAAUAUGAUGAAGCAUGCCUGGUGUUCGGCAUGGUGCUUGGCACAAAUUAAGUAUCAAUGAACGUUAGCUUUUAUUAUAAUUAUUGGCAGGGGCAGUGGUGAUAUCGAAAGCAAUGGCUUUGACCAAAGAGCUGGAGGGACUGAUUUUCUCGUCUGGGUAGGUCUGUAGCUGCUCAAUCAGGCUGGCCUUUGAGGAGAAUCGGCUAGCUUCAGAGACCACAACGGAGCUGGUACACCUGCAAUUUAAAAGAGAAAGUAUUUUCUGUAAAGUCUUAGUUGUCAGUAUCUGAGAGGUAGAUUUAGUUCCUGGCAGCCCCAGGAGCUUAGCUGGACCAAUAGUUGUGACCAGGUACAGGUGGAUCAGCACCCAGAGUAUUUCAGGAUCGGCACGGGUCAGUAUCCUGGUCCUAUGGCUCAGUGGUAACUUGCAGGAAGAUUACUCACACGUACAGUAAGCCUCUGACCCCAGGCCUCAUCUGCUCCCCUGUUAAUCAGUCUGUCAGUCAGGUCCUGCAAGAAACAGAUACCGAGACGGGAAAUCCAAUGUGCAAAGAUUUCAUUAGAGGAAACACCUGUGAGAGAAAAUGGGGGUGCAGAGCCGGAGAGGCUGGGAACAGCCUUGGAUCACGAUGUAAGUCUGACCCUGUGAAGCGAAGGAGAGAGGUCAGACCGGACAAAGGAUCUCAGAGCACCGUAGCCGGGGCCCUGGGCCGAUUAUGUUCUCUGUGGUUGGAAGUCUGCAAUGCAUAUUAUCACGGCUGCCACAGUCGAUGACAGGAAAAAUAUCUCAAAGACGAAAUGAUCAAAUUUGCAGAUGACACAGACGGAAUGCUCGGAAUCCUGUCCUCCACGGUUUUGAAUAUUUCCUUUUUCAGAGUGAGCCUGUUCACGAGCUCCCCACAUGAACGUGCUAGGUUCUUGGGGCGCCUCUCUCUGUUCUUUCCAUCAUGACCCUUUGUGGUUAUAGGCUCAGAAUUAUGUUAUGACAGGUAUAAGAGUUUAUACUGUGGAGGAAUACUUGCUGACGUGAAAAGAGAGUCAAGGUAUAUUUUUAAUUUAAGAAAGACAGGUCACAAAACCUGUAUUUAUAGCAUGAUUUCCAUUUUGUUCCAAGAAUAUCUAUGCAUAGGAAAAAAUGUAGAAAGACAGAAGCAUAGCACUAUUAAUGGGGGUUAUAUAUUUGGUUUUUACACUUUUUUUUGUGCGUCUCUGUGAUUUUGAAUUUUCCACAGCGAAUGUGUUUUACUUCGAAGACAUUCCCAAUGCUUUGCAACUAUCUUCCAAAGGCUGGGGUUCACCUCUGACUGGUUUGGCCUCUUUGUAAAGGAUGCAAUGACAAAGCAGGUUAUCUCAAGACUUGUCACUAUUUUCAACCACCUUCUUGGCUUUUGGACUCUUUCCCUGCUGUGACCGUUGAGAACUUCUGACCCCCUGCAUAGGUCACAACCCUCCUAGUGUCCAAACCUCCUACCUGACUUAACUUGAAGCUGCCAUGGGAUCAUUUCCUGUUGGAACUAUUAGCAGUCAUAAUAUUGUUAAUUAGAUUGCCCCACUUCCUCUGAGUGCUUACUGUGUGCCGGGAACUAUAAUAAUUAUUUUAAAUGUAGUGACUGAAUUCAUUUUCUCGAUAAGUCUAUGAGGGUGGUCCUAUUAUUAUACAUAUUUUACAGAUGAGGCAACGAGGCAAUGAGGCAACAGAGGUGGGUUAGGUGGGCCAACUCACACAGUGAGGAUAUUUGCCUACCUUUGCCUGGAGGAUGGAUCGCUGAUGCUUCUUGGUCCUGCCUCCAAAUGGCCUAUUCCUACCAACUGCCACUGCCCCACACACAGGUGUGAGAGAUGUAUAUGCACCUUUUUUCCACGCAGGGCACCACAUAAAGCAUCCAGCUAUGACUUGGGACAAGUUAUUAAAUCCUCUGAGCCUCAGUUUCCCCAUCUGUAAAGAGGACUGACAUACUUUUAUAGAGUUCUUAAGAAGAUUGAAUCAAAUAAGGUAUGGGAGAUGCCGAAUGCCAGUUCCAAGUAGAGGGAGAACGCUCACGGAGAGGAAGAUGCCCACAGUAAGCCCAUGAAGAGAACUGAAUGUCAGCCUGAUGUCAGAAGAACAGAGUUAAGCUUCUCUCUCAACCAUUUCUGAAUGCAGUUCACCUUGUAUGUUAGCAAAGGUGGUGGCAGUCUACAUGGAGUGACCAGCCAUUACCAAGAAGACCUCCUUGUCCAAAAUAUCUGCCUCACCAGGGCCAGGCACUCCACCAUCAGUAAUCCAUGUCUGCAUCUUAGGCUUUUCCCCUUUCCAUAAGCCUUGUAAGCACAUAAAUACUCAUGGGAUCCUUGUAAGACAGAAAUGGCCGCAGGAUUUAGGAUUGGAUUACAUGGAAUUGUAGAGGAGAAAAACGUGUACUGGGAAGGUGAGUGUUCCGGUCUCAGUUCCUGCUGUCCUAACUCCCAUGGAGAACUUUCGUGAAUCACAACCUCUCUGUGUUUCUGUCUAUACAAAGAAAUUUUGUAAUAUAUACUUCUCCAUCUAAGAUUCGGGCUUUAACCAUCUAAGAUUCUACAGAAUCAAAUAGUGAUAAUUCAGGCACACCUUCAGGCAACUAUGGAAGUAUUUCUUGCUUGAUACCCAUUUCUCUUGCCCUGAGAUUGCUGAUUGGUAAAACCAGCUCGGAAAUCCACUGUGACAACAUUUACCAAAAACUUUAAGGAGGUUCACAUUCUUUGAUCCAGUAAUUUCAUUUCUGUGAAAUCAUUCGAAGUACAGCAGAGCUUCAUGAACAGGGACUUUAAAUACAGUUAUGUUUAUAAUAAUGA